UAGAGUUUGAUCCUGGCUCAGAAUGAACGUUGGCGGCGUGGAUUAGGCAUGCAAGUCGAAUGCGAACGUAGCAAUACUAGUAGCAUGGCGAAAGGGAUAGUAAUGCAUGGGCAAUCUACCCUCGACUCUGGGAUAUGCGGCGGAAACGCCGAGUAAUACUAGACGCCGUUUUCGAAGGACAUCCUUUGAAGACGAAAGGUCCGCCGGUCGAGGAGGAGCUCAUGUCCUAUCAGCUAGUUGGUGAGGUAACGGCUCACCAAGGCGAGGACGGGUAGCGGGUGUGAGAGCACGACCCGCAUCACUGGCACUGAGACACUGGCCAGACUCCUACGGGAGGCUGCAGUCGAGAAUCUUCGUCAAUGGGGGAAACCCUGAACGAGCGACGCCGCGUGGAGGAUGAAGGCCUUCGGGUUGUAAACUCCUGUUGGGAGGGAACAAAUUUUGAGUGACCUCCUGAGGAAGCACGGGCUAAGUUCGUGCCAGCAGCCGCGGUAAGACGAACCGUGCGAACGUUAUUCGGAAUCAUUGGGCUUAAAGGGCGCGUAGGCGGCGGUGUAAGUUGGAAGUGAAAUCCCAUCGGCUCAACCGUGGAAUUGCUCCCAGUACUGCAUCGCUCGAGGGGGAUAGGGGUUUGCGGAACUACCGGUGGAGCGGUGAAAUGUGUUGAUAUCGGUGGGAACGCCAGUGGCGAAAGCGGCAAACUUGACCCUUCCUGACGCUGAGGCGCGAAAGCUAGGGGAGCAAACGGGAUUAGAUACCCCGGUAGUCCUAGCCGUAAACGGUGAUCACUAGGUGUUGGAGGCAUUGACCCCUCCAGUGCCGCAGCUAACACAUUAAGUGAUCCGCCUGGGGAGUACGGCCGCAAGGUUGAAACUCAAAGGAAUUGACGGGGGCCCGCACAAGCGGUGGAGCAUGUGGUUUAAUUCGACGCAACGCGAAGAACCUUACCCAGACUUGACAUGCAUUAGACGGGUGUGGAAACACACCUUCCCUUCGGGGCUGGUGCACAGGUGCUGCAUGGCUGUCGUCAGCUCGUGUCGUGAGAUGUUGGGUUAAGUCCCGCAACGAGCGCAACCCUUGUCCUUAGUUGCUAACGGGUGAUGCUGAGCACUCUAAGGAGACUGCCGGUGAUAAACCGGAGGAAGGUGGGGAUGACGUCAAGUCCUCAUGGCCCUUACGUCUGGGGCUACACACGUGCUACAAUGGCUGGCACAAAGGGUUCCGAUGCCGCGAGGUGGAGGCAAUCCCAAAAAACCAGUCUCAGUUCGGAUUGCAGUCUGCAACUCGACUGCAUGAAGUCGGAAUCGCUAGUAAUCGCUGAUCAGCAGGCAGCGGUGAAUACGUUCCCGGGCCUUGUACACACCGCCCGUCAAGCCACGAAAGUCGGCAGCACCCGAAGUCGUCGCGCCAACCGUAAGGGGGCAGACGCCUAAGGUGAGGUCGGUGAUUGGGGCUAAGUCGUAACAAGGUAACCGUA
rnacentral:rRNA from 1 species